rnacentral:rRNA from 1 species
GACGAACGCUGGCGGCGUGCUUAACACAUGCAAGUCGAACGGAAAGGCCCUGCUUUUGUGGGGUGCUCGAGUGGCGAACGGGUGAGUAACACGUGAGUAACCUGCCCUUGACCUUGGGAUAACUUCAGGAAACUGGGGCUAAUACCGGAUAGGAGCUCCUGCUGCAUGGUGGGGGUUGGAAAGUUUCGGCGGUUGGGGAUGGACUCGCGGCUUAUCAGCUUGUUGGUGGGGUAGUGGCCUACCAAGGCUUUGACGGGUAGCCGGCCUGAGAGGGUGACCGGCCACAUUGGGACUGAGAUACGGCCCAGACUCCUACGGGAGGCAGCAGUGGGGAAUAUUGCACAAUGGGCGGAAGCCUGAUGCAGCAACGCCGCGUGCGGGAUGACGGCCUUCGGGUUGUAAACCGCUUUCGCCUGUGACGAAGCGUGAGUGACGGUAAUGGGUAAAGAAGCACCGGCUAACUACGUG